UGGGGAUAGUUAGUCAUGAGUUUAGAAGGUGUUUAGAGGUAUUCGGUGCAAGUUGGGCGCGGGAAUGGACCUCGGAAUCAUGUUUGUAAUAUACCGGAUUUUUAAUAUAAAAGUAAAUAUAAAUAAAAAUAGUAUGAGAUACUAUUUUUAUUUGACUUAGAGAAGUUAAAUACAAGUCGGAAACGACUACUACUGAAAUCGGAACAGAAACAGAAGAUUUUGAAUUUUCUGUGAGAACCGAGGCUAUUUUAGCAGAAAAUUCACAGUGUCAGAAAAUUAUGAAAACUUGGAAUAUGUCGGGAUUAUUUUUAUAAGGCUAGAUUUAAAGUUUCAUGUCAUUCCGACACCCGGAAAGUGGAAAAUAAAAUCUGACUGCUAUCUGAUAGAGAUUUCAGUUCGGUAGAGCUUUCGGUGACCAAAAAUGGUCGAAACUGAAAGAUUAAAAUU
rnacentral:lncRNA from 1 species